rnacentral:rRNA from 2 species
CAACAGGGAUUGCCCUAGUAACGGCGAGUGAAGCGGCAACAGCUCAAAUUUGAAAUCUGGCUCUUUCAGAGUCCGAGUUGUAAUUUGCAGAGGGCGCUUUGGCUUUGGCAGCGGUCCAAGUUCCUUGGAACAGGACGUCACAGAGGGUGAGAAUCCCGUACGUGGUCGCUAGCUAUUGCCGUGUAAAGCCCCUUCGACGAGUCGAGUUGUUUGGGAAUGCAGCUCUAAAUGGGAGGUAAAUUUCUUCUAAAGCUAAAUAUUGGCCAGAGACCGAUAGCGCACAAGUAGAGUGAUCGAAAGAUGAAAAGCACUUUGGAAAGAGAGUCAAACAGCACGUGAAAUUGUUGAAAGGGAAGCGCUUGCAGCCAGACUUGCUUGCAGUUGCUCAUCCGGGCUUUUGCCCGGUGCACUCUUCUGUAGGCAGGCCAGCAUCAGUUUGGGCGGUGGGAUAAAGGUCUCUGUCACGUACCUUCCUUCGGGUUGGCCUUAUAGGGGAGACGCCAUACCACCAGCCUGGACUGAGGUCCGCGCAUCUGCUAGGAUGCUGGCGUAAUGGCUGUAAGCGGCCCGUCUUGAAACACGGACCAAGGAGUCUAACAUCUAUGCGAGUGUUUGGGUGUCAAGCCCGAACGCGUAAUGAAAGUGAACGGAGGUGGGAACCCGCAAGGGUGCACCAUCGACCGAUCCUGAAGUUUACGGAAGGAUUUGAGUAAGAGCAUGGCUGUUGGGACCCGAAAGAUGGUGAACUAUGCUUGAAUAGGGUGAAGCCAGAGGAAACUCUGGUGGAGGCUCGCAGCGGUUCUGACGUGCAAAUCGAUCGUCAAAUUUGGGCAUAGGGGCGAAAGACUAAUCGAACU